AGAGUUUGAUCAUGGCUCAGGAUGAACGCUAGCGGCAGGCCUAACACAUGCAAGUCGAACGGUAACAUGAGAGCUUGCUCUUGAUGACGAGUGGCGCACGGGUGCGUAACACGUAUGCAACCUACCUCUAUCAGGGGGAUAGCCCGAAGAAAUUCGGAUUAAUACCCCAUAAUAAUGAAAAUUCGCAUGUUUUUUCAUUUAAAGCUCCGGCGGAUAGAGACGGGCAUGCGUCCUAUUAGUUAGUUGGUGAGGUAACGGCUCACCAAGACUCCGAUAGGUAGGGGUUCUGAGAGGAAGAUCCCCCACACUGGUACUGAGACACGGACCAGACUCCUACGGGAGGCAGCAGUGAGGAAUAUUGGACAAUGGACGAAAGUCUGAUCCAGCCAUGCCGCGUGCAGGAAGAAUGCCCUCUGGGUUGUAAACUGCUUUUAUAAGGGAAUAAACCCCAUUACGUGUAAUGGGCUGAAUGUACCUUAUGAAUAAGCACCGGCUAACUCCGUGCCAGCAGCCGCGGUAAUACGGAGGGUGCAAGCGUUAUCCGGAUUUAUUGGGUUUAAAGGGUCCGUAGGUGGAAUUGUAAGUCAGUGGUGAAAUCUUUCGGCUUAACCGGAAAACUGCCAUUGAUACUGCAGUUCUUGAGUAUGCUCGAAGUAGGCGGAAUAUGUCAUGUAGCGGUGAAAUGCAUAGAUAUGA
rnacentral:rRNA from 1 species